CGCAAGUUGCGCCCCAAGCCAUUAGGCCGAGGGCACGUCUGCCUGGGUGUCACGCAUCGUCGCCCCCCCCAMCCCCCUSCCSGGGGGACCUKUSGGAGGGCGGAAAAUGGCCUCCCGUGCGCUACCGCUCGCGGUUGGCCCAAAUUCGAGUCUUCGGCGACCGUGCCGCGACCUUCGGUGGUGAGAACAAGCCUCUCGAGCUCAGGUCGUGCGCCCGUGUCUCCGUGUCAAGGGCUCUCGGACCCCUCAGCGCGCGYCGCUCGCUUCGCGACCCCAGGUCAGGCGGGAAUACCCGCUGAGUUUAAGCAUAUCAAUAAGCGGAGGAAAAGAAACUUACCAGGAUUCCCCUAGUAACGGCGAGCGAACCGGGAAGAGCCC
rnacentral:rRNA from 1 species